rnacentral:rRNA from 1 species
CAUGGGCAGGUUGAAGGUUGGGUAACACUAACUGGAGGACCGAACCGACUAAUGUUGAAAAAUUAGCGGAUGACUUGUGGCUGGGGGUGAAAGGCCAAUCAAACCGGGAGAUAGCUGGUUCUCCCCGAAAGCUAUUUAGGUAGCGCCUCGUGAAUUCAUCUCCGGGGGUAGAGCACUGUUUCGGCAAGGGGGUCAUCCCGACUUACCAACCCGAUGCAAACUGCGAAUACCGGAGAAUGUUAUCACGGGAGACACACGGCGGGUGCUAACGUCCGUCGUGAAGAGGGAAACAACCCAGACCGCCAGCUAAGGUCCCAAAGUCAUGGUUAAGUGGGAAACGAUGUGGGAAGGCCCAGACAGCCAGGAUGUUGGCUUAGAAGCAGCCAUCAUUUAAAGAAAGCGUAAUAGCUCACUGGUCGAGUCGGCCUGCGCGGAAGAUGUAACGGGGCUAAACCAUGCACCGAAGCUGCGGCAGCGACGCUUAUGCGUUGUUGGGUAGGGGAGCGUUCUGUAAGCCUGUGAAGGUGUGCUGUGAGGCAUGCUGGAGGUAUCAGAAGUGCGAAUGCUGACAUAAGUAACGAUAAAGCGGGUGAAAAGCCCGCUCGCCGGAAGACCAAGGGUUCCUGUCCAACGUUAAUCGGGGCAGGGUGAGUCGACCCCUAAGGCGAGGCCGAAAGGCGUAGUCGAUGGGAAACAGGUUAAUAUUCCUGUACUUGGUGUUACUGCGAAGGGGGGACGGAGAAGGCUAUGUUGGCCGGGCGACGGUUGUCCCGGUUUAAGCGUGUAGGCUGGUUUUCCAGGCAAAUCCGGAAAAUCAAGGCUGAGGCGUGAUGACGAGGCACUACGGUGCUGAAGCAACAAAUGCCCUGCUUCCAGGAAAAGCCUCUAAGCAUCAGGUAACAUCAAAUCGUACCCCAAACCGACACAGGUGGUCAGGUAGAGAAUACCAAGGCGCUUGAGAGAACUCGGGUGAAGGAACUAGGCAAAAUGGUGCCGUAACUUCGGGAGAAGGCACGCUGAUAUGUAGGUGAAGUCCCUCGCGGAUGGAGCUGAAAUCAGUCGAAGAUACCAGCUGGCUGCAACUGUUUAUUAAAAACACAGCACUGUGCAAACACGAAAGUGGACGUAUACGGUGUGACGCCUGCCCGGUGCCGGAAGGUUAAUUGAUGGGGUCAGCGCAAGCGAAGCUCUUGAUCGAAGCCCCGGUAAACGGCGGCCGUAACUAUAACGGUCCUAAGGUAGCGAAAUUCCUUGUCGGGUAAGUUCCGACCUGCACGAAUGGCGUAAUGAUGGCCAGGCUGUCUCCACCCGAGACUCAGUGAAAUUGAACUCGCUGUGAAGAUGCAGUGUACCCGCGGCAAGACGGAAAGACCCCGUGAACCUUUACUAUAGCUUGACACUGAACAUUGAGCCUUGAUGUGUAGGAUAGGUGGGAGGCUUAGAAGUGUGGACGCCAGUCUGCAUGGAGCCGACCUUGAAAUACCACCCUUUAAUGUUUGAUGUUCUAACGUUGACCCGUAAUCCGGGUUGCGGACAGUGUCUGGUGGGUAGUUUGACUGGGGCGGUCUCCUCCUAAAGAGUAACGGAGGAGCACGAAGGUUGGCUAAUCCUGGUCGGACAUCAGGAGGUUAGUGCAAUGGCAUAAGCCAGCUUGACUGCGAGCGUGACGGCGCGAGCAGGUGCGAAAGCAGGUCAUAGUGAUCCGGUGGUUCUGAAUGGAAGGGCCAUCGCUCAACGGAUAAAAGGUACUCCGGGGAUAACAGGCUGAUACCGCCCAAGAGUUCAUAUCGACGGCGGUGUUUGGCACCUCGAUGUCGGCUCAUCACAUCCUGGGGCUGAAGUAGGUCCCAAGGGUAUGGCUGUUCGCCAUUUAAAGUGGUACGCGAGCUGGGUUUAGAACGUCGUGAGACAGUUCGGUCCCUAUCUGCCGUGGGCGCUGGAGAACUGAGGGGGGCUGCUCCUAGUACGAGAGGACCGGAGUGGACGCAUCACUGGUGUUCGGGUUGUCAUGCCAAUGGCACUGCCCGGUAGCUAAAUGCGGAAGAGAUAAGUGCUGAAAGCAUCUAAGCACGAAACUUGCC